CGUCCACAAGCUUCCUCAAAACCUAAAUUUGAAAAAGCAUCAAAUGGUUAACAAUCAUUAUCCUCAGAAAUGUAGAAGUCCAGUAAUUACACAAAAUACAAAUCCCUCCUCUGGCCAGAACGUUCAAAAUAAAAACCUUUUGCAAAAGCUUAGUCCUUGUGUCUCACAAACCUGAGCACCAUACCCAGAAAAUGUGGAACAGGUAACUAAUCCAUUCACAAUUCCUGUACAAAACCAUAAUUAAGUACACAUUCUAGUACAACAAUGGAGAAAAAUUUUAUACUGAUUUCGAGUUGCAUAACACAAAAGUUCACAUUACUUUUAAAACGACAUCAACUAACUCAAAGUUAUUCCAGGAUCUAUAUUAAUCCAAAAGAGUCAACAACCACACAAUAUUUAGAUUAUACCUGAGCAGAAAUCUCCUCAGCA
rnacentral:misc_RNA from 1 species